rnacentral:lncRNA from 1 species
UUUUAAUUUGAGCAGGUAUAAUCCAUUCCUUUUCCCUGUCUUUACUGUUCUUAGCCUUGUAGUUCCUUACUUUGAUUCAAUUUCAUGUUUAGCCGUGUAAGGUGUUACUUUAGGCAAAAUUAGUAAUUAAACUACAUCUGUUUGGUUAAAAGAUAAUUGAAUACCAAUAGUGACGUUUCAUUUAUUUUUGUUUAGCAUUUGCUCGUUGUAACUAGGAUUGAGUUGUUGGUUUAUUUGGGCCUGGGUAUUGGUUAUUUUGACAAAGAGAAGAAGGCAGUUGGACUUGAGUCCAAGUCAAUAUGACUCUUUUGACUCAAGCCCCAACGUAUGUGAAAUCUGUUGAUAGUAACAUUGGGCGUAAAUGAAAGAAGAGGGUAAUUGGAAAAUUAAUUGUGAGGGAAUCUUUCUAUUAUUGGUUUAGGAAGGUUCGAGGAGAUAAGGAAAGGACUAUUUUGCAAAAUAAGAGUAAAAGGAGGUCGGAUUUGGGGGAUGAGGGAGUAAAAUAAAAAAAGAAAAAGGAUUAAAAAGAAAAGUAAUAACUGAAAGAUGUUUAAAUCUAUUCUAUAAAGCAGCACAUUCAUUCAUUCUACACACACACGCAAUUCACAGGCUCUCACACUCAUCGCUACUCUUUUCUCAUACACUACACAUACAUUCACUCACUCUUCUCAUUCAUACUCAUCUAUUCUCACUCACACUCGUCUACACACCUAAAGGCAUCUGAAAAAUAGAUUUGAAAAUUCAAAAAAAGAAAUUCCUUGCUAAAGGUUGAAAGUUCCAGUUUCAGAAAUUAAAAGCAAAGAUGGUUUAGUUUGAUUUUGGUACUAAAAACAACCAGCUCCUGUAUUUGAUUCAAGGAGAUCUUCUACCCUAUUUUCCUGAUUUUUCAAGCUGAAAACUGAAGUUGUUUUGCUGUUCAUUGCUGAAUUUGGGUGUUUCAAGUUGCUGAGCUCUAUUUUCUAUAUUUCCAUACCUUUAUUUGGUCUAUCUCACUUUCUCUUGUUGUUUAGGUAUGUUCAGUUACUUUUGUCGUUUUGAAUGGAAAUCAUGAAUGAAAUUCUAGUUGUUCUCUGCCUAAAUUCCAUAGAUCCAGCAUGUUCAAUGGCUGAAUUUGUUUGAAUUCCCAUCCCUUGUUAAUUUUCUGAAAUUCUUUGUCGGUAAAAGAUGGAUUUCUGAGUUGUUAAAUGUUGAUGAACUAAGUGAUGUCUAUCAUUAAUGAUAAUUAAUUUCCUAGGGGUAAGGAUUCAUACACAGUGAUGUCCACAGGAUAGACUAAUCUAAUUUGCGUUUGAUUGUUUAGAUACUGCCUGUAGCCGAUUGAUUUAUGAGGGUAGCCCGAUGGCUAUGUCAUUGUAAAUCAGAAUCAUCGAGAAGAAUGAAGGUCACUAGCCUGAGUUGUUGCUUUCCUGGAACCGGAUAAGGGUCUGAUUUGCCCAUCUACUAUCAUAAAUAGGUCUUAUUUAUCUUCCAUUUAAAUUUUUUAUCAAAAAUAUCUAUACAGUUAUACAUUAAGUUGAUAUUUACCUCUUACACGUUAAAAUGAGCUAUAUUUGCCCUUCGUUAUACUUUAGGAUCAUAUUUACCCCUCUACUCUUCACAAAGGGUUACAUUUGCCCUUCGUUAUUGUCACGACCCAAACAAACCCCUGUCGUGAUGGCGCCUAUCGUGGAACUAGGCAAGCCGACUCAUUUCUAAAACAAACCGAUAUUUUCAUUUCAAAGAUAAUUUCAGUGCUAUUUAACAUAAAAACCUUCGCAAAGGAGUUCAAAUCAAAACAAAAGUGCGGAAGGAAAAGCCCGACAUCGGGGUGUCACUAGUCAUGAGCAUCUACUAUAAUCUGUCUAAUAAUAUCAAGGCUAACUCAGCCUUGAAAAUAGCUAAAUACAACUAGAGGAAGAUAAGAGGGAGAAGAUGAGGGGCUACGGUCGCCAAGCAACCUUGUUAUCCCCGAAAAUAUUUGCAACCAAAAUAAUCAACAAUCACUACCGUGUCCAGCUACACCUGG